rnacentral:rRNA from 1 species
AGUGAACGCUGGCGGUAGGCCUAACACAUGCAAGUCGAACGGCAGCACAGGAGAGCUUGCUCUCUGGGUGGCGAGUGGCGGACGGGUGAGGAAUACAUCGGAAUCUACCUUUUCGUGGGGGAUAACGUAGGGAAACUUACGCUAAUACCGCAUACGACCUACGGGUGAAAGCAGGGGACCUUCGGGCCUUGCGCGAUUGAAUGAGCCGAUGUCGGAUUAGCUAGUUGGCGGGGUAAAGGCCCACCAAGGCGACGAUCCGUAGCUGGUCUGAGAGGAUGAUCAGCCAGACUGGAACUGAGAGACGGUCCAGACUCCUACGGGAGGCAGCAGUGGGGAAUAUUGGACAAUGGGCGCAAGCCUGAUCCAGCCAUACCGCGUGGGUGAAGAAGGCCUUCGGGUUGUAAAGCCCUUUUGUUGGGAAAGAAAUCCAGCUGGCUAAUACCCGGUUGGGAUGACGGUACCCAAAGAAUAAGCACCGGCUAACUUCGUGCCAGCCGCCGCCGUAA